CUGAUAUUGGUAAACCAGUUUAAGUAUCAGAAUAUCAAUCUAUAAAUUCUGAAUGUGGUAGGCAUUCCUUUUUUCCUUUUUAUCUUUUAUGGUUUUCAUUUAUUCCUUUUUGAUUGUUUGUUUGUUUGGUUUUUUUUAUAGAUAAAACAAGGUAGAAGGAUUUCCUUUGAGGCUUUAAGCCAGCAUCUAUCUUACAAUUCAAAGUCAUCCCAGCUGUUGGUCUUGACACCUUGAUACUUGUCCCUCAGGGGUCCAUAUUGGGACCAGUGGUACUUAAUAUCUUUAUUAAUGACAUAGAGGGAUUGAGCGAACCCUCAGAAAAUUUGCUGAUGAUAAGAUGCUGAGUGGUGCAGAUGACACUCCUGAAGGAUGGGAGAGAAGUGGGACCUGGACAAGCUAGAGAAGUGGACCUUUGGGAAUUUCAUGCAGUUUAACAAGACCAAGUACGAGGUGAUGCACCUCAAUCAGGACAACCCCUGGUAUCAACACAGGCUGAGGGAUGUUCAGAUGGAGAGCAGCCCUGCUGAGAAGGACUUGGGGGUGCUGGUGGGUGAGAGGAUGGACAUGGCCCAGCCAUGGGCACUCACAGCCCAGAAAGCCAAACGUGUCCUGGGCUGCAUCCAGAGCACCGUGGGCAGCAGGGCCAGGGAGGGGAUUCUGCCCCUCUGCUCUGCUCUGGUGAGACCCCACCUGGAACCCUGCAUCCGGCUCUGGGGUCCCAGCACAGGAAGGACAUGACCUGUUGGAGGGAGUCCAGAGGAGGCCACCAAGUUGAUUAGAGGGAUGGAGCAGCUCUUGUAUGAGGAAAGGCUGAGAGAACUGGGUUUGUUCAGCCUGGAAAAGAGAAGGCUUAGGAGUGACCUAAUUGUGUCCUUCCACUACCUGAAGCGAACCUACAGGAAAGAUGGAGCGAGAAAAUUCACGAGAACAUGCAGUGAUGGGACAAGGGGAAUGGUGUCAAACCAAAAGAAGCAUGCAGGCCUACUGGAAAGAAAAGCACAGUGACAGGCAUACAACACCCAAUUGUUGCUCAGACUGUAGUUCCAGUGAGGGCAUAGAUGCUGGGUGCUCUUGCACAAAAGACAAACAGGUUGUUCCUGGUGUCCCUGCUGCCAGCUGUGGUGAAAUCAGCAAGCAUCCUUCCCAGCCACACUCGGCUUUGAAGAGAGGAACACGUAUCCAGGAGGAACACAUGUACAGCCCAGACAUCAUGAAGAGGACCAAAGCUGUCUGUGUCCGUGGUGUGAGAACAGAAAACUAUCCUCUUUCCCUUGUUUUGGUUCAAGUUAAAGAGAGCUCUUGGAACGAUACAUCACAUGGAGGUUUUCCCCUUCCCUUGACAAAUGAUGUGGAUCAAAGACCUGCUGUGGUAAGAAGAUUAAAAAAUAAUAAUAUGAUGAUAAAACAGAUGCUAGCAGCGCU
rnacentral:lncRNA from 13 species